UAGGGAAUCUUCCGCAAUGGACGCAAGUCUGACGGAGCAACGCCGCGUGAGUGAAGAAGGUUUUCGGAUCGUAAAACUCUGUUGUUAGAGAAGAACAAGUGCUAGAGUAACUGUUAGCGCCUUGACGGUAUCUAACCAGAAAGCCACGGCUAACUACGUGCCAGCAGCCGCGGUAAUACGUAGGUGGCAAGCGUUGUCCGGAUUUAUUGGGCGUAAAGCGAGCGCAGGCGGUUCCUUAAGUCUGAUGUGAAAGCCCCCGGCUCAACCGGGGAGGGUCAUUGGAAACUGGGGAACUUGAGUGCAGAAGAGGAGAGUGGAAUUCCAUGUGUAGCGGUGAAAUGCGUAGAUAUAUGGAGGAACACCAGUGGCGAAGGCGACUCUCUGGUCUGUAACUGACGCUGAGGCUCGAAAGCGUGGGUAGCAAACAGGAUUAGAUACCCUGGUAGUCCACGCCGUAAACGAUGAGUGCUAAGUGUUGGAGGGUUUCCGCCCUUCAGUGCUGCAGUUAACGCAUUAAGCACUCCGCCUGGGGAGUACGACUGCAAGGUUG
rnacentral:rRNA from 1 species